AUUGAACGCUGGCGGCAUGCCUUACACAUGCAAGUCGAACGGCAGCACGGGUGUUUGCCCUUGGUGGCGAGUGGCGCACGGGUGAGUAAUAUAUCGGAAUACGUCCUGUAGUGGGGGAUAGUCCGGCGAAAGCCGCUAUAAUACCGCACACGAUCUACGGAUGAAAGCGGGGGAUUCUCGGGUCUCGCGCUCUGAGGUUCGUAGAUGGCUGAUUAGCUAGUUGGUGGGGUAAAGGCCUACCAAGGCGACGAUCAGUAUCUGGUCUGAGAGGACGACCAGCCACACUGGAACUGAGACACGGCCCAGACUCCUACGGGAGGCAGCAGUGGGGAAUUUUGGACAAUGGGCGAAAGCCUGAUCCAGCAAUGCCGCGUGUGUGAAGAAGGUCUUCGGAUUGUAAAGCACUUUUAGCCGGGAAGAAGUCCUGGACGCUAAUACGGUCGGGGGAUGACGGUACCAAAAGAAUAAGCACCGGCUAACUACGUG
rnacentral:rRNA from 1 species